UAAAUCCUGCUGUGUACGAAGAAACGGUUGUUUUGAGCUAACAGAAUUACAUUGGAAAUCUAAGUUCAUGUACGUAGUAAAUGCCCUCUUGAGGGGACUUAUGAAAUAUGUGACUGGGCAUCCACCUACGAUAGUGGGUUUCAAAACAGCUGAAUCAAACGGCAUAGCGGGUAAACU
rnacentral:other from 3 species